CAGUCGCCACGGUAAUUCGUAGGGUGCGAGCGUUAAUCGGAAUUACUGGGCGUAAAGCGUGCGCAGGCGGUUGUGUAAGACAGGUGUGAAAUCCCCGGGCUUAACCUGGGAAUGGCGCUUGUGACUGCAAAGCUAGAGUGCGGCAGAGGGGGAUGGAAUUCCGCGUGUAGCAGUGAAAUGCGUAGAUAUGCGGAGGAACACCGAUGGCGAAGGCAAUCCCCUGGGCCUGCACUGACGCUCAUGCACGAAAGCGUGGGGAGCAAACGGGAUUAGAUACCCCGGUAGUCCCUGUCUCUUAUAC
rnacentral:rRNA from 1 species